rnacentral:sRNA from 1 species
GGUGAGUCUCACCCAAUGGAUAACUACAACGUUUAUACUCAGCGAACAAGGACAUUUUGUUUUAAAUGAAGGAAUAGGCUGUUUGUUUCAGGAUCUUUUUGUUUGGAAGAUGCUACAAUAUAUAAGUGUACCAUUCAUGAUAUACUACGACCUUCAAUCUGCUAUGCAUUUUUACAGUAUUUUACCAAAGCCUAGAUUUGUGAAUCAUGAAUGAUUUUAUUAUUUCAUGCUAUACUUUUUAUUUUGAGUUGUUUAAGAUUUCAAACAAUGUGACAAAAAUUGAAUUAUUGAACAAUUCAAUUCAUGUGAACUUUCUAUAAACGUAUUUUGCUGCAUGAUCUAUGUAAUUAAAUCAUCCUUCUCUAUAUUACUUCCUUUUCUCCGUUUAAAUAUUUCAUGCUCAUCUUUAAUUCAGAAACCCAGUGGUUUCUUCUUCGUUUAUGAAACGUAAACUUUAAUGAUUUUUUAUCAAACACAAAAAAGUUUGCGUUGUUUUUCGGUUUUACUUGCAUGUGAGCGAAUUUACCACCAAUCGCAACUGUCUAACAAGAAAUGUUAAAUUUGUUAUCUUAACCCAAACAGAAAGUUUUCCUAAGAAAACAUAUCAAAAUCACUUAAAAAUCAUAUCAAACUCACAAAUUCAUGGUUUUGCUCUAUGAUUAAGACAUGAUUCUAUUAAUGAAUCAUACCCAAAUCAUAGGUGACAAAUAAGGAAGUAUGAUUCUAUUGUGGUUUGUUUCUUGGUUUUGAAUCUGCUAUGAUUUUCUUGUGAUUCUGGUAUGUGCUAUUAGAAGGCAACAGAGGAUGCGUUUGAAAUGAUUCGUUAACUGCCAGAUAAACUGACCACUAAGAAUUAAGAUUUCUGCAUAACAGGAAGUUGAGUUGCAAAUUUUGAAUGUUCAUCUUUGAGCCUAAAUGUGAUGUACUUGUCAGGAAAAUUUGUUAUUGUUGGGCAUCUAGCUCUAUCUUUUAUAUUUAUUUAUAAAGUGAAUUUAUAGAAGUAUUUUGGGGGAAUAUAUUCUUAUUCACUUGAGGUAAAUAAUAUUUUAUAAGGACUAAUUUACCAUACACUAUCAAGUGAUUUAUUAAGUGAAGCAAACAACUAAUGCAUAGAUGUAUAUGUAUCAUUAGUUCAGACCGGGAGCUACAGACCUGCAGCUAGGUUUUGAAAUGCAUGGGUAAUAUUUUAAUUUGUACAAUUCAUAUAAGAAUUGCUAGAAGAGUUUGAAAUAACAGUAUAAUUAUCAUCUUAAUUAUGGAGGGCUUUGAUCCUUUGUUUUAAUUCAAAUUAUAUUGGCUUAACGAUACAGUUCAUGUGACUUGUAUGUAUACUAUUUUUCAUAUUUGGUAAUUGACAAUGUAUUUCAAAUAUUAAAGAAUAUAAUAGUCUGUU